rnacentral:rRNA from 1 species
CACGUAGGGGGCAAGCGUUGUCCGGAUUUAUUGGGCGUAAAGGGCUCGUAGGCGGUUCGACAAGUCGGGUGUGAAACCUCCAGGCUCAACCUGGAGACGCCGCUCGAAACUGUUGUGACUAGAGUCCGGUAGAGGAGUAUGGAAUUCCUGGUGUAGCGGUGGAAUGCGCAGAUAUCAGGAGGAACACCAGUAGCGAAGGCGAUACUCUGGGCCGGUACUGACGCUGAGGAGCGAAAGCAUGGGGAGCGAACAGG